UUUUUUACAAAACGGCCAUGACCCACAUGCCCUACGAGAUUCCCGGUUUUGAUGAGCAGGCUGUGGAGGAAGGGUAGCUUUUUUUUGGAAGAAGGUGCAGAAGCAGGUUCGAUCCCAAAGGAGACGACUGGAGGCAGCACGAAGGCCGGCGAUGAACGUAGAGAGGCGGGAGGUAAGUAAGCUGAGGAGCUCGGAUACUCCAAAGACUUCAGUCAUCUAUCUAAGUUGCUAGAACACCACAGACAAAUAUAUUGACGACCAGUAUAGGAAAACUCACGAAUAUACACCACAGAAAAAUCUCUCGGCUUUAGAACACACUACAGAACCGUCUUUUUCUUAGAUCUUUACACUCUUAAACCACUAUUAAGGAAACUAGUCUUAAUAGUAAUAAGACAGACGUUUGCUGAAUUCUAUAUCGGCAUUGUCCAUUUAAACCCCAGAACACAUACAGAAAUUAAGGACACUCUCACUAUUGAGUAUUGGCGCUAACGGGAACGAUGUAAAGAAAUUUAAAAAGGAGUAUCAUCAUAAUAGAACUGAGGAUAUAUAUUUCUUUGUCAACCACUACCACCACACAGACGGUAGGCAGUAAGACUGGUAUGUUAGACGUAGAUUUUGUAACGCUCCGUUCGACACUAUAAAAACGUUUCCUAUACUGGUAAGACGAGGUGUAAACGUCUUUGGGGAAUGAGGGGGUCUGGUAGAGUAGAGGCAGGGAGGGGACGGUGUAAGUUUGUUUGUUCUCCUUAUUUAAAUAUAUGUGUGCUAAAACAAAGUUCAAAGACUCGUACAUAAUCAGAUAAAACCUAGGUUACAUUGUGUCCCGUGAAACGAUCAACAAAAGAAUUGUCGGUCAAGUAGUGUAUGAUCUAAAUACAACGAAGUACUAAGUGCCUCACUUCUACCAUAUUUUUCGAAGAAAGUCCUUCAAGUGCUUGAAAUGUAGUUCUAUAAGGAAUUAGGUGAGAUGAACGGACCAAGAGCGUAGUGUAGGAGAGUAAAGUUAUGGUUCCAGUCCCGAGAACGUUCCUUUAUGGACAUCGUACGUGAGUCCACCUUCUAGGACUUUUACUCGAUCACGGUACUACGCGGUUUUACCACGAGUUGCCUCUCGAAAGAAACGAAUAAAGACUCCGCAAAGGGGACGGUUGCAAAGUCGAAAAUACAAAUAGAGGAAUGGGGACAGGACACGACAACAGAACUCUAUGAGCUCACAGCAUUCGACUCGGGACAAUUUAAAUGGAACGUGUAGCUAUGACGUGGUAAUAUAGACAUCGGUACCGUCACUUUCCUCUACCACGGCGUCAUAGUAGUGCUCGACAUACUUCGUACCUUCGUAUACGUCGCCGUAAUUAUAAUGUCCUGUGACGUUACGUUGACUGGUCGACCAUCACCAUGACAUCGAGGUGAUUUUCCUGGGGACGUCUUAGAGGCCUCUUUCCAGGAGCGUGUAGUCUACUUAAGAUAAGUAUUUACUUAGACGUCAAUAGUGAACCCUAACAUGAUGGUUCCUUCUCGACAGUAAACCGACCUUGGAAAAAAAAACAAAAACAAAACACUUCUGUUCUGAAACUAACUACUAAUAAAUUGUGUUUGCCCACAAUACACGGUACUUUAAAUGGUGCAGUGGCAUAAACAAAGG
rnacentral:rRNA from 1 species